rnacentral:rRNA from 1 species
UACGUAGGGGGCGAGCGUUGUCCGGAUUUAUUGGGCGUAAAGAGCGUGUAGGCGGCCAGGUAGGUCUGCUGUGAAAACUCGAGGCUCAACCUCGAGACGUCGGCGGAAACCAUCUGGCUAGAGUCCGGAAGAGGAGAGUGGAAUUCCUGGUGGAGCGGUGAAAUGCGUUGAUAUCAUCAGGAACACCAGUGGCGAAGGCGACCCACUGGGUCAUUUCUGACGCUGAGGUACGAAAGCUAGGGUAGCGAACGGG